AGUGAACGCUGGCGGUAGGCCUAACACAUGCAAGUCGAACGGCAGCACAGUAAGAGCUUGCUCUUACGGGUGGCGAGUGGCGGACGGGUGAGGCAUACAUCGGAAUCUACUUUUUCGUGGGGGAUAACGUAGGGAAACUUACGCUAAUACCGCAUACGACCUACGGGUGAAAGCAGGAGAUCUUCGGACCUUGCGCGAUUGAAUGAGCUGAUGUCGGAUUAGCUAGUUGGCGGGGUAAAGGCCCACCAAGGCGACGAUCCGUAGCUGGUCUGAGAGGAUGAUCAGCCACACUGGAACUGAGACACGGUCCAGACUCCUACGGGAGGCAGCAGUGGGGAAUAUUGGACAAUGGGCGCAAGCCUGAUCCAGCCAUACCGCGUGGGUGAAGAAGGCCUUCGGGUUGUAAAGCCCUUUUGUUGGGAAAGAAAAGCAGCAGGUUAAUACCCCGCUGUUCUGACGGUACCCAAAGAGUAAGCACCGGCUAACUUCGUG
rnacentral:rRNA from 1 species